AGCUCAUGGUAAGGACACUUACGCAAUAAAUCUUUGAAUCGUUCCCAUGCUUCAUAGAGAGGCUACUUAUCAUACUGAACGAACGACAUAAUAUCUUGUUGGAAUUU
rfam:Prunus persica cultivar Lovell chromosome G1, whole genome shotgun sequence.